UACAGAGGUCCCGAGCGUUGUUCGGAUUUACUGGGCGUAAAGGGCGCGUAGGCGGCCAGUGCAAGUCAGUUGUGAAAUCUCCGAGCUUAACUCGGAAAGGUCAACUGAUACUGCUCGGCUAGAGUGCGGAAGGGGCAACUGGAAUUCUUGGUGUAGCGGUGAAAUGCGUAGAUAUCAAGAGGAACACCUGCGGCGAAGGCGGGUUGCUGGGCCGACACUGACGCUGAUGCGCGAAAGCUAGGGGAGCGAACGGG
rnacentral:rRNA from 1 species